AAAAAGGCAAACCCUGGGUUUCCGUGUCCAACUUUGACUGUCCGUCUUAUAUGAAAUUUUUUUACAAUUCGUAUUUUCAUUGUUGUUAGAUAAUAAAACAUGAUUAAUAUUUUAUGCGUAACUUGUCUUUUUAAUUUUUUACAUAAUUUUUUCAAAUAAGACGAACGGUUAAACGUUGUACACGGAAAUCAGGGUUUGUCUUUUU
rfam:Oryza glaberrima chromosome 3 Oglab03_0115_38, whole genome shotgun sequence.